CUUUUGGAGCACAUAGAGAUGGUGCGCCUUGGAUUCUUGAGUGCUGAAAUACAUGUGGGGCUGAAGUAUAUGGGGAGCAGUAGUGGGCAAGCCAUGGUCUUAGGGAUUUACAAUUAAGAGAUUGCCUUGAGUAUCAGAAGAGACGUUGGGCCUUUCCUUUGCUGUGACAAAAGCAUCACAAUCAAGGCAGCUUACAGGAGAAAGAAAAUUAUUCAAGGGAAGAGGUUACCUUACUGAUCAUCAACUGAUACAGAAGAGUACUUAAUGAACAUGUCGGCAAGGAGGGCUGACUGAGAAGCCAAGGACAAUGGCACUGGGUUUUGAUCCUAUUGCAUGUACUGGCUUUGUAGCAGCCUAGACUGUUUGGAUGCUCACCUUCCUAGA